rnacentral:rRNA from 1 species
UAAGGAAUAUUGGACAAUGGGGGCAACCCUGAUCCAGCCAUGCCGCGUGAAGGAUGAAGGCCCUCUGGGUUGUAAACUUCUUUUGUACGGGAAUAAACCCCUCUACGUGUAGAGGGUUGAAUGUACCGUAAGAAUAAGGAUCGGCUAACUUCGUGCCAGCAGCCGCGGUAAUACGAAGGAUCCAAGCGUUAUCCGGAUUUAUUGGGUUUAAAGGGUGCGUAGGCGGGCUAUUAAGUCAGUGGUGAAAGCCCCAAGCUUAACUUGGGAAUUGCCAUUGAUACUGAUGGUCUUGAGUACACUUGAGGUGGGCGGAAUGUGUCAUGUAGCGGUGAAAUGCUUAGAUAUGACACAGAACACCGAUUGCGAAGGCAGCUCACUAAAUUGUAACUGACGCUGAGGCACGAAAGCGUGGGGAUCAAACAGG